rnacentral:ncRNA from 1 species
CAAGCAAAGAUUGCUCUAGCUUGUUCCCAUACAGGCCACUCAGAUUACAUAAAUGUAUGACUCACAGUAGUGCAGGAUUUACAGGUCCAAGUGUCAUGGGACAGUGUCAUGUGAGGAGUCACACUAGGACAGUAUACCUGCCAAACAAAAAUGCAGUCUCUGAGUGUGAGUCCAGGGAAGAUGGAAAUCUUCCAUGGAACAGAAGGGAAAAAACUCUCCUGGUCUUGAUUUUCAGAUUUUUUGUAAAAGAGUGGCUUUAUGAUACUUCUGACUUUUUGUUUAGUGAGCAGGAAGUGUCAUAAAACUUACCACAGGGGUGACACCAGGGGCAAGUGUCUAUAAUGACAAAAAAAAUAACAAUUUAAAGUUUAAAAUUUCUUUUUCAUUUUUGUGUCUGCUCUUGUGUUCAGUGUAAGGCAGAAUUCAAUGAGCCCUGGUUUGUUCCACUGCUAACAAUGAAUAUGACCUGGCUUUUGGCUUUUGUAAGUAAGGUUAGUU